CUUUUUGUUAACAUUGUGUAAAGACCGAAGAGAUGGACAUAGUAAAGAAUCCAUACUACAAUAUUAUUAGAUAUGUUAUAAUUUUAACAGGACAAAGUCAAUAUCAUUCCAAGUGGCUUAACAUAUGGAUCAAAUCCUUGUUUUUUCUUGUUAUUUUAUCUUUUAUAAUUACUCAGAUUGCAGGAAUGAUAAAAGUUUUUGAUAAUAUUGACUUGGUAUUGAUGUGCAUUCCACCAACAUGUUACGCUUCAAUGGGUGCAACGAUUUUUAUAAAUAACAUUUUGAAAGUAAAACAAAUGAACGUUGUUUUUUGGAAAAUUCAAAAUGACUGGGACACAUUAACAUCAAAACAUGAAGUCGAUAUUCUUCACAAAUAUGGCAGGAAAUGCAGAUUUUAUUCCAUGAUAUUCGCUUUUGGACUCUUUGGAAAUCUAUCAAACUUCGUGUUUUUACAUUUUAGUACUCUGAUGCGUAACACUUUGAAAAAUAAUAAUGAACCUUCGCAGCUUCUUUUUCUAACUGACUUUGGCAUAGAUUCAGAAAAAUACUUCUACCUAAUAUUACUACACAAUUAUUUAUCUGCUUCCAUUUGUACUGCUGUGAUCGUAAAUGGAGAUAUAGUUCUUUUAAUGUUCCUUGAGCAUGCAUGUGGAGUAUUUGAAAUAAUAGGAAAUAAAUUGACCUCUGCAAUCAAAGAAAAUUCUAAUUCCACUAAUAAUGUUAAUUUUCGAAAGAAGCUACAGCAAGAAAUUAAACUUUGUGUGUCAAUGCACAGAAGAGUUCUAUUAUAUGUUAAUGAUGUCCAGUCAGUUUUUUCAACUGCUUAUCUUUUCGUAUUUGGGCUCAGUAUAAUAGAUUUAAGCAUCACAGGUGUCCAGAGUGUCAUGAGUAAGAAUAAUCCCGAGGAAGCCAUAAGAUUCGGAUUUUACACAAUGUGUCAAGUGUUUCAUAUUUUUCUUUUAACUCUGCCACCUCAGCAGUUACUGGAUAGCAGUCUUAGUCUUCCUAUCUACAUAUACAAUACAGAUUGGUAUUAUCUGUCUACUGAAACAAAAAAAAUGUUACUCCUAAUAAUGAAAAGAGGAUCUCAACCAACUACAUUUAUCGUUGGAAAAAUAUUUAUUCCAUCACUUCAGUUUUUUACGAAGACAAUAUGUUACAACUGAGGCAUCGUUUAAAGAAGAAAGUUCGGAAGAACCAUCAUCUUUUGCAAAUGCACAUAUUAGAACAAGAGGAGGCUUUCAAAUUUGUCAAUUAUCUCCUGAUUCUACGGGAAAUGUCUCGCAAAUUAUAGAAAAUGUAUCAGCUCCUUCUGGUAAUAGUUACGGAGUUUUUAGUUCUUCCAGUAUCUAUCAAUUUAUUGGGAUAGAUGGACAACAGAAAGUUUUUAAAUCUGCAACGACUGGUGUAAAUGAUAAUGGUAAAAUUACUUUCCGCAGUGUACAACAACCUUAACCCUCAGGGAACUGACUAUAAAAAAAGUUACAAACACCACGGACUAGGUUAGCCUAACCCAGUACCUUUAAUCGACUGUAUUUUGAACUCAAAUUAGUCAAUGAAAACAAUUUUUUUAAAUUGAUCGAUGUUUUUCUGAGAAAUGUGAUGAUUUUGUCAGAUUUGUGAUAUUUUUCUAAUUACUAAAGUUACAGUGGAAAAUAUACGCGGUAUUUUUAGAAAUGGUGCAACUUUCCGCCUGGGUUACGCUAACCCAGUCAGU